rnacentral:lncRNA from 1 species
GGGUAUGCCUGUGGUCAUCACCUUCCGAGACGACACGACCCGGCGAUUCAGAUUUAUCUUAUUCCUUGCCUCAACAACAUGCUCUGCUUCUUGAGCUUGCAGGUUCUAGCCUUUCUCUUCUCCUCUUGUUGUCUUGCACUCCGAUCAAGCCAUGGUGCAUAUUGCCUCAGAUUUGCUUAUUUGAGUGUGCUUUUAUACAUAAAUCUUGAUUUGUUUGUUUUUCAUAUUUUUAGGGAUAUGAGGAGAGAACUCUAUUGUUGGCAGUGACUGCAUCAUUUCCACAAGUGAUAUGGUUGAUCUUUGCUAUGUGGACGAUGGCAGGAUCUGUACCUAAGUUUGGAGAUUCUGAAUUAGUAAGAAAACGAUGGCAACCAUUUGAUUGUUUUUUUAUUACUUUAGGAAUAUGAGGAGAGAGCUCUAUUGUUGGCAGGGGCUGCAUCAUUAUCUUUGCUAUGUGGACCGAUGGCAUGAUCUGUACCUAAGGUUGAAGAUUCUGAAUUAGGAAAGAAAAAGAUGACAGCCACUUCGUUUUAGUACAUCAGUUUACUGAAUAAUUCUACGCUUUGAACUGCACGAUUACAGUGACAAUAUAACUAAAUAAUGGAAGAAACUUAAGGCUAGACACCACAUAAAUUUUCUUUUUAUUUGAAUUUAUAAUUAGACACUUGAAUUUAGCUUGAUACAUAUCAUAUGAUACCUUAGAAGCCCAUAUUGUAAAAUUUGACCAGUUCCCAUAAGGCCACAACUGUAUCUUAGUGUAGAAUUUACUUUCUCUUUUCGAAUGCCCAUAUAUUAUGUUGCUCUCUGAUUCAACUUAUACGCAUUUAGCAGCUUAUCUUUAUCAUGUUAUCCCGUUCUUACCAAUACCAUGUGGUAGCUAAAUGUGUUGAUCUACCACUGUAGUGUUAGUAUUGUUUUUCAACUAUUUUUUAUUGGCCAGCUAUAUGAUGUUAGUCAGCUAGUUCCAUUUUUGGACGAUUAAUUAUUUGCAUGGAUGUUAAGUGAAUGGCUUAUAUUGCCUUACAGUGGUAAACUGAAAAGUGCCUUACAUGAGGACUGAUGGUGAUAUUAUAUACAUGUAUGUAUAUGUUUUCAUUAAGCAGAACACGUGAGAAAUCACUGAUGCGCAUGGAUGAUAGCUUUCCCACGAUGAAACAAAGUUGAUCUUGAAAUAAUCAUAGCUGAGGGAUUAGGUUCGUAACUGAGGGUAUGUGCAGAGCUGGAGGAAGAAGUUGCGAGGCUUGAAACUCUUCUUGUGAAGGGCUCAGGGACAGCAGUGGGGACAAUGCCUCCUUAGUUGUAAUUGUGAUACUUCUGAUGUGCAAAUAAACACUCUUAUGAAACUCCUUAUGCUGAAAUGUUGGUUGUUAGUACAUUAUUUGGUUCUCUGGUACUGAUUUCAUGAUUUGUGGUUAAUACAUGAUGUAAUACAAUCCACAUUGCAUUAUAUUCCCAACUACAUCUCCU